rnacentral:rRNA from 1 species
UACGAAGGGUGCGAGCGUUGUUCGGAUUUAUUGGGCGUAAAGGGUUCGUAGGCGGGAUAAUAAGUCAAGUGUGAAAUCUCCGAGCUUAACUCGGAACGUGCAUUUGAAACUGUUAUUCUUGAGUCAUAGAGAGGGCGAUGGAAUUGUUGGUGUAGGAGUGACAUCCGUAGAGAUCAACAGGAACAUCAGAGGCGAAAGCGGUCGCCUGGCUAUGUACUGACGCUGAGGAACGAAAGCGUGGGGAGCAAACAGG